rnacentral:rRNA from 1 species
CAAUAGCGUAUAUUAAAGUUGUUGCGGUUAAAAAGCUCGUAGUUGGAUUUCUGCUGAGGACGAUCGGUCCGCCCUCUGGGUGAGCAUUGACUCGGCCUUGGCAUCUUCUUGGAGAACGCUACUGCACUUGACUGUGUGGUGCGGUAUCCAGGACUUUUACUUUGAGGAAAUUAGAGUGUUUCAAGCAGGCGCACGCCUUGAAUACAUUAGCAUGGAAUAAUAGGAUAGGACCUUGGUUCUAUUUUGUUGGUUUCUAGGACCGAAGUAAUGAUUAAUAGGGACAGUUGGGGGCAUUCAUAUUCCAUUGUCAGAGGUGAAAUUCUUGGAUUAACGGAAGAUGAACUUCUGCGAAAGCAUCUGCCAAGGAUGUUUUCAUUGAUCAAGAACGAAAGUUAGGGAUCGAAGAUGAUUAGAUACCAU